CGGGGGUACUCGAGUGGCGAACGGGUGAGUAACACGUGGGUGAUCUGCCCUGUACUUCGGGAUAAGCCUGGGAAACUGGGUCUAAUACUGGAUAGGACUGCUGGUUGGUGCUGGUGGUGGAAAGCUUUUGCGGUAUGGGAUGAGCUCGCGGCCUAUCAGCUUGUUGGUGGGGUAAUGGCCUACCAAGGCGUCGACGGGUAGCCGGCCUGAGAGGGUGUACGGCCACAUUGGGACUGAGAUACGGCCCAGACUCCUACGGGAGGCAGCAGUGGGGAAUAUUGCACAAUGGGCGCAAGCCUGAUGCAGCGACGCCGCGUGGGGGAUGACGGCCUUCGGGUUGUAAACUCCUUUCGCCAGGGACGAAGCGUUUUGUGACGGUACCUGGAUAAGAAGCACCGGCUAACUACGUGCCAGCAGNCGCGGUAAUACGUAGGGUGCGAGCGUUGUCCGGAAUUACUGGGCGUAAAGAGCUCUCGUAGGUGGUUUGUCGCGUCGUUUGUGUAAGUCCAUGGCUUAACUGUGGGACUGCAGGCGAUACGGGCAUAACUUGAGUGCUGUAGGGGAGACUGGAAUUCCUGGUGUAGCGGUGAAAUGCGCAGAUAUCAGGAGGAACACCGAUGGCGAAGGCAGGUCUCUGGGCAGUAACUGACGCUGAGGAGCGAAAGCAUGGGUAGCGAACAGGAUUAGAUACCCUGGUAGNCCAUCCCGUAAACGGUGGGCGCUAGGUGUGAGCCUCUUCCACGGGGUUCGUGCCGUAGCUAACGCAUUAAGCGCCCCGCCUGGGGAGUACGGCCGCAAGGCUAAAACUCAAAGGAAUUGACGGGGGCCCGCACAAGCGCGGAGCAUGUGGAUUAAUUCGAUGCAACGCGAAGAACCUUACCUGGGCUUGACAUGCACUGGAUCGGGCCAGAGAUGGUCUUUCCCUUUGUGGCUGGUGUGCAGGUGGUGCAUGGUUGUCGUCAGCUCGUGUCGUGAGAUGUUGGGUUAAGUCCCNCAACGAGCGCAACCCNUGUCUUAUGUUNCCAGCAUUUGGUUGGGGACUCAUGAGAGACUGCCGGGGUUAACUCGGAGGAAGGUGGGGAUCAGCUCAAAUCAUCAUGCCCCUUAUGUCCAGGGCUUCACACAUGNNNACAAUGGUCGGUACAGNGCGUNUGNGAUACUGUGAGGUGGAGCUANUCGCUAGAAAGCCGGUCGUAGUUCGGAUUGGGGUCUGCAACUCGACCCCAUGAAGUCGGAGUCGCUAGUAAUCGCAGAUCAGCAACGCUGCGGUGAAUACGUUCCCGGG
rnacentral:rRNA from 1 species